CCCAUUUUUGCAGGAAUCCCAGAGGAGCUGCAGGGGCUGAAUUUUGAUUUUUUCCCCAUUUUUUGCAGGAAUCCCAGAGGAGCUGCAGGAGCUGCCCCUACAUGACUGAAUUUUGGGUUUUUUCCCCAUUUUCUGCAGGAAUCCCAGAGGAGCUGCAGAGGCUGAAUUUUGGUUUUUUCCCCAUUUUUGCAGAAAUCCCAGAGGAGCUGCAGGGGCUGCCCCGCUGGGAGCUGCAGGCCCUCAGGACUCGGCUGCUGCUGGAGCUGCUGUGGGUCCAACAGGCCAUUGCCAGCAGGAAACACUUCCUGCUGCUGAAGCAGAAGUUGGGAGUCGCUGCCCAUCCCUGCAGCAUCCCCGAGUUCCUGGCCUGCUGUGGAGAGGCCCUG
rnacentral:lncRNA from 1 species